ACGCCUACGGGGGGCAGCAGUGAGGAAUAUUGCACAAUGGGGGGAACCCUGAUGCAGCGACGCCGCGUGAGUGAAGAAGUAUUUCGGUAUGUAAAGCUCUAUCAGCAGGGAAGAAGAUGACGGUACCUGACUAAGAAGCCCCGGCUAACUACGUGCCAGCAGCCGCGGUAAUACGUAGGGGGCAAGCGUUAUCCGGAUUUACUGGGUGUAAAGGGAGCGUAGACGGCAGGGCAAGUCUGGAGUGAAAGCCCGGGUCCCAACCC
rnacentral:rRNA from 1 species